rnacentral:tRNA from 1 species
AGGGGUGUAGCUCAGUGGUAGAGCAGGAGUCUCCAAAACUUCGUGCCGGGGGUUCGAUUCCCUCCACCCCUGCCA